UCAAGGUUUUCGGCGAAGGAAUUUCGUUUAAAUGUUUUGUUAUCUUUGUCAUAUAUGAAGGUAUUUAACCUUUUGUUAAAUUAAAUCCGAAAUCUUAAAUAUUACUUUAAUGUUUUAAAUCCGGUUACUCUGUGGCAUUUUAAUCAUUGAAAUAUUUACAAACUAGUUAUAGUUAAACGUAGGAUAUAUGUCCGUUAACAAACAUUUUGACAAAGAGGCGUUAGUGACUAACGUCCACUUCUUUUGCAGAUGUAGGCAGCAAUGUCCGGACAUUAUGUUGGACAACUAUAUAAGUAGAUCACUUUUCAUCUAAGAUAUUUAUGUGCCAGCAAUGUUCUUGGUCUCCCUCGAGGGGAGAUAUGUAACGGAUGAAACGCCGCCUUGUUUUCAAAACGAUGAAGGUAUCCAACCUGAAAUGGAUAUGGCAUUAAUACCCUCUUUUGAAAGAAUAAAUGAACAUAUAAUGUAUCUUAAAGAUAAAAUUGAAUCCCGAAUAACACAGAUGAGAGAAGAAUAUUGCAUAACAAGCGACGCCUCUAUGGCGGACUUUACAAUAACUUCACAAUCUAACAGCCAGAAAUUUAAAAAGGAU